rnacentral:rRNA from 1 species
UGCGCGGGAGCAUCCUGGCGGCGAGUGGCGAACGGGUGAGUAAUACAUCGGAACGUGCCCAAUCGUGGGGGAUAACGCAGCGAAAGCUGUGCUAAUACCGCAUACGAUCUACGGAUGAAAGCAGGGGAUCGCAAGACCUUGCGCGAAUGGAGCGGCCGAUGGCAGAUUAGGUAGUUGGUGAGGUAAAGGCUCACCAAGCCUUCGAUCUGUAGCUGGUCUGAGAGGACGACCAGCCACACUGGGACUGAGACACGGCCCAGACUCCUACGGGAGGCAGCAGUGGGGAAUUUUGGACAAUGGGCGCAAGCCUGAUCCAGCCAUGCCGCGUGCAGGAUGAAGGCCUUCGGGUUGUAAACUGCUUUUGUACGGAACGAAACGGCCUUUUCUAAUAAAGAGGGCUAAUGACGGUACCGUAAGAAUAAGCACCGGCUAACUACGUGCCAGCAGCCGCGGUAAUACGUAGGGUGCAAGCGUUAAUCGGAAUUACUGGGCGUAAAGCGUGCGCAGGCGGUUAUGUAAGACAGUUGUGAAAUCCCCGGGCUCAACCUGGGAACUGCAUCUGUGACUGCAUAGCUAGAGUACGGUAGAGGGGGAUGGAAUUCCGCGUGUAGCAGUGAAAUGCGUAGAUAUGCGGAAGAACACCGAUGGCGAAGGCAAUCCCCCUGGACCUGUACUGACGCCCAUGCACGAAAGCGUGGGGAGCAAACAGGAUUAGAUACCCUGGUAGUCCACGCCCUAAACGAUGUCAACUGGUUGUUGGGAAUUCACUUUCUCAGUAACGAAGCUAACGCGUGAAGUUGACCGCCUGGGGAGUACGGCCGCAAGGUUGANACUCAAAGGAAUUGACGGGGACCCGCACAAGCGGUGGAUGAUGUGGUUUAAUUCGAUGCAACGCGAAAAACCUUACCCACCUUUGACAUGUACGGAAUUCGCCAGAGAUGGCUUAGUGCUCGAAAGAGAACCGUAACACAGGUGCUGCAUGGCUGUCGUCAGCUCGUGUCGUGAGAUGUUGGGUUAAGUCCCGCAACGAGCGCAACCCUUGUCAUUAGUUGCUACAUUUAGUUGGGCACUCUAAUGAGACUGCCGGUGACAAACCGGAGGAAGGUGGGGAUGACGUCAAGUCCUCAUGGCCCUUAUAGGUGGGGCUACACACGUCAUACAAUGGCUGGUACAAAGGGUUGCCAACCCGCGAGGGGGAGCUAAUCCCAUNAAACCAGUCGUAGUCCGGAUCGCAGUCUGCAACUCGACUGCGUGAAGUCGGAAUCGCUAGUAAUCGUGGAUCAGAAUGUCACGGUGAAUACGUUCCCGGAAUCCCUGGACCUGUACUGACGCUCAUGCACGAAAGCGUGGGGAGCAAACAGGAUUAGAUACCCUGGUAGUCCACGCCCUUAGCGAUGUCACUGGACUGGUAGUCGUACCAUUCGACUUUCUGCAGUAACGAAGCUAACGCGUGAAGUUGACUCCGCCUGCGGGAGUACGGCCGCAAGGUUGAUACUCAAAGGNAUUGACGGGGACCCGCACAAGCGGUGGAUGAUGUGGUUUAAUUCGAUGCAACGCGAAAAACCUUACCCACCUUUGACAUGUACGGAAUUCGCCAGAGAUGGCUUAGUGCUCGAAAGAGAACCGUAACACAGGUGCUGCAUGGCUGUCGUCAGCUCGUGUCGUGAGAUGUUGGGUUAAGUCCCGCAACGAGCGCAACCCUUGUCAUUAGUUGCUACAUUUAGUUGGGCACUCUAAUGAGACUGCCGGUGACAAACCGGAGGAAGGUGGGGAUGACGUCAAGUCCUCAUGGCCCUUAUAGGUGGGGCUACACACGUCAUACAAUGGCUGGUACAAAGGGUUGCCAACCCGCGAGGGGGAGCUAAUCCCAUAAAACCAGUCGUAGUCCGGAUCGCAGUCUGCAACUCGACUGCGUGAAGUCGGAAUCGCUAGUAAUCGUGGAUCAGAAUGUCACGGUGAAUACGUUCCCGGGUCUUGUACACACCGCCCGUCACACCAUGGGAGCGGGUUCUGCCAGAAGUAGUUAGCUUAACCGACAAGGAGGGCGAUUACUCACGGCAGC